UACGGGGGGGUGCGAGCGUUGUCCGGAAUCACUGGGCGUAAAGCGUGCGCAGGCGGUGAUGUAAGACAGAUGUGAAAUCCCCCGGGCUCAACCUGGGAACUGCAUUUGUGACUGCAUCGCUGGAGUGCGGCAGAGGGGGAUGGAAUUCCGCGUGUAGCAGUGAAAUGCGUAGAUAUGCGGAGGAACACCGAUGGCGAAGGCAAUCCCCUGGGCCUGCACUGACGCUCAUGCACGAAAGCGUGGGGAGCAAACAGG
rnacentral:rRNA from 1 species